rnacentral:lncRNA from 1 species
GGACAAACCUUUUUUCUAAAGAUUUUUUUUUGAGCAACAUAAUACAUUAACUGAAAAACGGAUUUGAAAGCCCAAAGCGAUUAGUUUAUACAUAAGCAUACCUUAGCCAGAGCAUCCGCUGGCCCAUCAAGGUUACGAUAAACAAAAGAAACCGAAACAGAAAGGAAACUUGAGGAGAUAAGCAAAGCGACAUCCGAGAGAAUCCCGAAGAGUUCAAUCGAUCGACGAGUCGAGUUGAUGGCUGUGACCAGCCCUUGGGAAUCUGAGCAAAGCCAGAUGAAUUUGAAGUUGAGAGACGACACAUGGAGAAGAGCACAGCAGAUAGCUAGGGCUUCCGCCAUUAGAGGAGAACCCACAGCAUCUUGGAACUGAGAGCAUCAAGUGAUCUCUUUGGAGGUGUGAUCGGUGAAGAUCCAGGCCAGCCCAGCCGCUUUCCGAGCUGCAUCAGUGUAGCAUAUCACGGUGUUGGGGUCUGAAGGGGAAAGAGGUGGACCGAGCUGUUUGGGAAUCUGAGGCUUCAACUGUCGCGAUUGGGCGUUUUCCCAUUCCUUGCAUGCAGAGAUAGCUUUCCUGAGGAUCUCCUGUGGAGCAAAGGGGCGCUUGUCGAAGAUCAAUUGGUUCCUGCAGAUCCAUAUGUGCCAGCAUGCAUAUCCAAGGAAACAAGUAAGUUGUGAUUCCCACUGGGGGAGGCAGACUUUAGCUCGAGAUGUCUCCAAUUCCAAUUGAAACGAGGUGCUGAGGGAGGUGUCAAAAGGCGAGGACCACGGGAUAAGGCUCCAAAUAUCAGCAGUAAACAGGCAGUAAACAUCAGGUGGAUCAAUGUUUCCGGUUCGCCACACCUCAUACAAGAUGAUCUAGAGGGGAUAUUACGGCGCAAUAGAUUAUCUCUAGUGGGGAGAACGUUUCUGGCGAAUUUCCACAUAAGAAUUUAACUUUAGGGAGCAGUGGAGAAUUUUAAAAAUUAUUCUAGUGAUGACAUGUGACUACGAAAACAUGUUGUAAUGCUUCAAGAUUAAUAUAUAGGGAUAAGCCCAAAGUUGUGGCAAAAUAAAACUGUAAUAAAUGCAUCAUAAAAUGAGUUGGG